ensembl:lncRNA LOC108351161 uncharacterized LOC108351161
CGGCAGUGGCCCACGGAAUCUUCCCAACAGUCCCCUUAAAAAGAUUCUCUUUUAAUCCCGAUUUAACUGGGGGGAAACCUGAAGGACAGACAGAUUGAAUCAUUUGUUACCCAGCUAUCGAAUGAACAUCUGGAAAGGGCCAGAGAGAACACAUCACAUCAUUCCUGUCAUCCUUGUCAACACUGCCAUCCCCGAUGCUGAUGCGGUCCUCCUCCCUGGGUGUGGUACAGGCAUGCAAUCUUGACGUUCAGGAUGGUGAGGGAGAACUGCUUUCUCCUGACCUCAAUCUUUUCAGCCUCUUAUGUAAGGGCUUGGCUUGAAUGCAGAGUGAAAAGAUGGUCCUGUGCUGUUCUGACUGGUGCGUCGUGUCUCUAAAUAAACAUGCUAAACGAUCAG